CAAAAGGAUGCAGGGAGGCUGCUGAUUUCCACUGAAGAGCUAAUUUCCUGUGAGACAUUAACAGUGAUUUAAGAAAAAGAUUCCUGUAACUGGUAAAUGAAUUUCAUUUGCUUAACUUUUAGAUGAUAUGUUUCAGGCAAAAAAAAAGUUGUGCACCCACUUAUCUCUUUAAAGCGGAGGAUGAAAAGCAUUGAAUAGGUAGGAUUCUUAAUGUCUGAGAUGAAGGCGAUGUAGGAGGCAAACAAUACGGUUAAAAAUGUUGAGUCGACCCAAACAGAAAGACCAGGUUUCAAUCCAGACUCUGCGGCUUACUGAGAAUAUGAUCUUGAGUAAACUGCUUGACCUUCCUGAGCCUCAGCUUUCUUAGUUGUUAAAUGGACUUUAACAAUACUAAUCUGUUAGGACUGUGGUGAGGAUGAAAUCAGGGAAAUCAGUCACAGCAGUGCUCUCCUGGCACAGUAAUGUCUUACAAUAACAGAAUGCAGGAGAGCACAUAUCAAUGAAGAAAAGACAAAAUGUACUUAUCCAUGAAGCUGAGGUUAAGAAACCAGUGUCUUCAAGAGCCAGGGACAGCACUGGGUCUGUGCAGAGUUGAGAGAUGGUGAUGACAUGUGGUUUCCAGCAUUC
rnacentral:lncRNA from 10 species